CUCAAAAGUACCCCCAAAAUCCAAGGAAACCCCUUGAGAGUCACACUGCUAGAUAGCCCUGAUCUGAGUGCCUAUCAUAUUCAAAAAGCACUCCGAUCGGGUUGGAUUUUCCAUCAAGGAACAAUUCUGACCGGCCAUUCACGAGGUAGAAUCCCAAAACAGUUCCAGGGAAAUUGUAGCAAUGGUCGGUCUCAGUUCGAGGGUUUUUGUACGAAAACCAUACACAAUAUGCAAAUGCUUUUAGGUGUUGAAUGCUCCCCCCAUUUGGUAGUUUAUUUCUCCUGAACACCAUUCGUAUAGGUGGUCAGGAACUUGAACUGGCAGCAGUUCCAUAUUCAACAAUGUUUGCGGGAGUGCCUAGCCGAAAUAAGUUCCAGGCACUCGAAGACCAGGUACCCCUGCCUGCAUUUGGGAGACAAGAUGGCCGCCAUCCACUCGGUACACGAAAUGGCGGCCACCAAGGGGAGCCUUUUAGUGAUAGUUUCCGUUGUGGUUUCGCGCUGGAUACUUUGUAUUACACGUUCUAAUUAGAUGUUGGGGUGGUCUUCGUUCGGAAACCGAACCAGGGGACUUUCGUAUGAACAAACGAACAGGGGAAAACAAUUGCUACCGAACCAAGUGAUGGGGCAUUCCUUCACACUGUGGUUCAUUAAAGAAAGGGUUAAGCAAUACGCGCCUAAGUGUCUUUCAUUAAAUGAUGACUUUCCGUCAUGAAAUAAAAUCAUGUAAUUACAUCAGGUUACAGAGUGAGGAAGAGAGGGUACAAAUGUGAGCUCAGAAAAAGAGCGCAGAAGGAGCAAUACAUGGAACACAUUAUAAAAAGGACAUGAGAAUCCCUGCAGAAGGUGAGAAUGAAUAAAGAGCAGUGUAUGGAAUGUGAAUGAAAGCUCUGAGAACUGAGAAAGAAGAAUGUUUAUAUAUUGCAAACCAGGAAAAAUCCUUAAAUGAAGUGCAGAAAGCAGAAAUAAAUGAGUACUUACAAGAAGAACAGGAAGCAUAAAUGAACAAGUACUUACAGGGAGCACGGGAAGAAUAAAUUAACGAGUACUUACAGGGAGAACAGGAAGCAUUAAUGAACAAGUACUUACAGGGAGCACAGGAAGAAUAAAUUAACGAGUACUUACAGGGAGAACAGGAAGCAUAAAUGAACAAGUACUUACAGGGAGCACAGGAAGAAUAAAUUAACGAGUACUUACAGGGACCACCGGAAGCAGAAAUUAAUGAGCACUUACAGGGAGAACAGGAAGCAUAAAU